CUGCAUCCCCAGCCUCAGUUUCCACAUGUGUAGAUGGAGUUAUGGCUGUGAAGAUCUGUACAUGGUAUCAGCGUGGGGUUUGUGGGGAACGGAAAAGCCCCCUGAAGCCUGCUUUUGUUGUCUUGUGGUUGGUUUGGAUACAGACCCUUGUGGAAACUGGUAAAUGGGUAGGCAAACCCUCAGACCAGGCCCAUCACCCCAAAACAGGAUCAGCCAGGGGUUUCCAAGGAUCUUGAUGAGACCGAUCGGCGCUACUGCUGCCUGGGAGGGAACUAUGGGUGGCCGGGUGAGCAGGGGGUGGGGAAGAGAGGCUGAGUAGGCUGGCUACAGAGACUUUUCUAGGGCUUUUCUCCACUCGCUCAACAGUCAAGAAUGGGUGUCCCUUUGAUUGUUUCUACUGGGAGAUUCUGAGAAAAGAUAAGACAUGGGUGGCCCCAUCCUGGAGAAACCCUCAGGCAGAUGUAGGGGGGUAGAAAUCAUCCAGUCAUUCAACAAACACUUACAGAGCCACUUGUGAAAAUGGGGUGAAAGAUGCCCAGGACGGAUCAGCUAGGGUCCCUGCUCUCUAGAAGCAUACACUGGGGCAGGGAAGACCGUUAACAGCCCACAAGACUGUAUUUUCACAAGAGGAAAUUGUGCCAGUUGAUUGUGUGAGACCUAAGGAAUGUGGGGGGGGUUGCUUAGUCCAGGGAGGCUUAGCUAAGAAUGGCUUCCUGGGGAGGAAGGAGCCCAGCCAGUAAGACAAGAACCAGGAGGCACGCUGAGAGGAGGAGGGGUGACCCAUGCAGAAUGCUGGGGAGCAGGUGUCCCUUCAGGAGGGUGAUGUGCAGGUAAUGAGCUGGAGAAAAGCGAGCUGCUGGUGGGUGGACUGGGGCCCUGGGGGUGCUGUGGUUCUCUCCCCAAAACUCCCCCCAGCCAGGCAGCUGUGUUGCUGCCUGCACAGGAGGGGGAAUAAACUGCCGAUUAUUCUCUCGGCAGCCUCACCCAGGAAUUGUGUCCUGCCUACCACCGGAGUAAACAGGCGCUAUGAACCUCUGGCAGGGGCGGGAGGAGAUGCCCCCACGAGACAAAGCACGCUAGCCACUGGAGUCGCAGGGACUGGACGGCUGAGUUCUGUGUCCGAGUUACAACCUGCUGGUGUUGGGGAUGGGGACUAUGCCUCUGUCUGCGGGCCCGCCCUGUCCAGCAGGCCUGGUCAUGCUGUGAUUGCUCUAAAACUCUAGAACAGAAGUCCAAGGAUCCUUGGGCAGGCAGAGCUCCGCAGUGGUCAUCUAGGUCAUCCCUCUGCCGCAGGCUCACUGGCUGCCUCCUGAUCGGCAAGUUGGGAGGGAGAUCGGCAUCCACCAGGCUUGUUCAGUCUUCGUGCUUCCCUUGCCAGGAAUUCCCCUCCGGCUCCUCCCUCUCCGCUUUCCAGCCGGGUCAGUAUCCGAGUGAGAUUAACAGUCCAUUCUACUGCAAGGAGCUAGCAUACUCCUGGACUUCUGGUGGCCGAGGGUUCUUCUUCAUUCAGAGGGAACGCCCGGAGUCUGGGCUCUAGGCUUUGGCAUGGAACAGCCCGUGGGGCCGGGCACCAGCACUGUGGGCAGAGGCCAGAGUCUGGGCAGGGGCUUUUCUGUUCGUUGAUGGCAGGCUGGACUUCCCCCAACAGAUCCAGAAUGAGCCUUCUUAGAGACGGAAAGAAAACACAAUUGCUAUCCUACAGGGUCUUCUGGAAUUGCUGCCUGAGAAGGAAACUAGAUGUUGCCUGACUUCUCCUUACAUGGCACCCAUUUCAUCCCAGAAUUCAGGGAACUAAUUUUGGGUCCUGGAAUUUCCCUGUUUGCUGUUAGACCUCUUCCCCCACGGUCUCCCAGGUCACAAAGCUAACCCAGCUCAGAAGAACUGCAGGCCGGGAAGCUUUCUCCAGGAGCUGGGGGCACUGGAUGCUUCCAUCAUAUUAGCCAUCUGUUCUCUGGAGCAGCCCCCCAAAGGGGGCCACAAGUUGGGCAUUGAUCUCUGCCCAUUUGGGAUCUUUGCUUGGGUUCCAGAAGGACAGUCAGGUCAUUUUCAUUAGCUUUGGCUCAUUGUUACCAAUCACCCUGUUCCUCCCAGGGCUUCCCUCGCCUUCCUCCUUGCACCUCUCUUCCUGGUGAUCAGAAGAACCUGGAAGGGUAUCCCGCCAAUAGACGGCCAAAAGGCAGAGCAGGCAGCCGUGCCAGUGGCAGUGCCAGCGAAAGGACGGGCGAUUAAAACAAAAUGAUUCAUCUUGGGAAUGAGUGCAAAUCACUUUCCAUUUACAGGAAUCGGGGCUGGGCUCCAAACAGCCUCUGUGGGCUCAUGGGGGAGAUGGGAGUCUGGGCCAUUGACCGUUAAGUAAUGAGCUUUGCUGAGUGCUCCCUGCUGACUCUGUGGAGAGGAGAUCUGGCUGGCAACAUGGGCGGGGGAGCCAGAGAACAGGCAGGAGAGGCUUGGGGCUGUUUAGGGCAGUUAGGACACAGGAGAGAGUGGGAGAGGGCUCC
rnacentral:lncRNA from 1 species